UUCAGCCCAUUGCAUAUUUCUGGGUCCAGCCCCUCGCAGUUGAUUCAUAUUUGGCCCGAUCAGUCUUGUACAUGUGCGCAAUCUCCGGAACUAGCGGGUCGUCUGGGUUUGGGUCCGUCAGUAGAGAACAAAUUGAGAGGAGUACCUGAAAAUUGUGUCAAACGGCUCCACUGUUCCUUCAGGAUAUCAAGGCAGAUGCUUCCGUUACUGUUGAUGUUUGGGUGGAAAACCUUUUGGAAGGAAUGUAUACCUUGGGCGGUUUGAACGGAUAGUCUGGAGGGAAGUGAAUAGAAACCAAGAAGACGCCACCUGCAUAUGGACUAUCUGCUGGACCCAUAAUCGUAGCUUGCCAGUGGAACAUAUCUUCUCCCACAGGGCCUCGCUGCAGGAGGUUGGGGGAUCCUUCUGCAGGUCCUUGAGCUCCUUGAGGAUCCGCUUGGACGCCAU
rnacentral:sRNA from 1 species